AAUAGCAGGGCUGGAGCAUAAGACCUCUGGUCACCUAACUCUUAAUCCAGAGUUCUUUCCAUUAAACCUCACAACCUCCUGUUUUCUCUUAGGUCCCGAGGAAUGGACUUGAAGAUCUUCCUUCCUUUAGCAUAUGAAUCUACAAACAGAAGGAAGAACUGUUUCCUACAUGGGACACUUUUCCUCCCACCUCUUCUCUACAACUUGUAGAUUUAAGUGAAAUGAAUCCUGGACAGACCAUCAAUCAAUAUUUGUGGGCACGUAAAUCACGACAUUAUGAAACUCGAAAAGUUAUCCAUUAACUCUGGGUAGGUAAAUGGUCACACCUUUCUCAGAUGAUUAGUAAUUAAAAUAAAAUAAAAAUAUUUUCAACUUUUCA
rnacentral:lncRNA from 1 species